rnacentral:lncRNA from 1 species
AUGUGUCACCAAAGGAAAUGCAGAAGCCAAACACUCGGACAAUUUGGAAAGGCACACCAAUUUUUUUCCAAGAACUGCGGAAGUACUGCAGGCCUGAGAGAGCAGAAAGCAGGAGCUGCAAAAGGCAUCUGCAGAGACCUGGAUGUGAAGGAGAUCGUUUUGUCCUGGACAAGACUCCUCAGAGAAAUGUCUCAUGUCCUACUACAAGGACACAGAAAGGUGAGCUUGUUUUGCAGACAUGUAGGGGUUGUCACACACACACCCUUUGGGGCUGGAUACAUCACCUUACCUGGCAUUAUCGGUCCUGUUUGCUGGGGCCUGAGAAGCCCACCCAAACCUGCUGGUGUGAGCAUCCCUUCAGCCAUCUGGGCCAAAAAUGAGCCAAAAGAGUGCAAACUGAUUCAGCACUACAUCCUUAUUGCACCAGCACAGGAGGAUUCCAGGGCUACCUGUGGGGACACAGCAGGAUAGGAGCAGGGUCCCAUCCCACAUCACUCCCUGAAGGCCUCCACCAUCUCAUGCACAGAAAGAAGCUGUCUACGCCCAGCUUGCUGAAUUGCAGUGGCAUUGAGCUGGGCUAGGGAUAUUUGGCAUGAUUUUCACAUAAUUUAAUAUCCUAUUACUGGGUCUGGGGAUUGGC